rnacentral:rRNA from 1 species
AGGUUAAGUUAAUAAGGGCGCACGGUGGAUGCCUUGGCACUAGAAGCCGAAGAAGGACGUGACUAACGACGAAAUGCUUUGGGGAGCUGUAAGUAAGCGCUGAUCCAGAGAUGUCCGAAUGGGGGAACCCACUAGUUAAUGACUAGUAUCCAUAUCUGUUAAGGAUAUGAGAAGGAAGACGCAGUGAACUGAAACAUCUAAGUAGCUGCAGGAAGAGAAAGCAAAAGCGAUUGCCUUAGUAGCGGCGAGCGAAACGGCAGGAGGGCAAACCGAAGUGUUUACACUUCGGGGUUGUAGGACUGCGAUAUAGGAUUAAUCAUUAUAGAAGAAUUACCUGGGAAGGUAAGCCAAAGAGAGUAACAGCCUCGUAUUUAAAAUGAUAGAUUAACCUUAGCAGUAUCCUGAGUACGGCGAGACACGCGAAAUCUCGUCGGAAUCUGGGAGGACCAUCUCCCAACCCUAAAUACUCUCUAGUGACCGAUAGUGAACCAGUACCGUGAGGGAAAGGUGAAAAGCACCCCGGGAGGGGAGUGAAAUAGAACCUGAAACCGUGUGCCUACAACAAGUUCGAGCCCGUUAAUGGGUGAGAGCGUGCCUUUUGUAGAAUGAACCGGCGAGUUACGAUAUGAUGCGAGGUUAAGUUGAAGAGACGGAGCCGUAGGGAAACCGAGUCUUAAUAGGGCGCCAUAGUAUCAUGUUGUAGACCCGAAACCAUGUGACCUACCCAUGAGCAGGUUGAAGGUGAGGUAAAACUCACUGGAGGACCGAACCAGGGCACGUUGAAAAGUGCUUGGAUGACUUGUGGGUAGCGGAGAAAUUCCAAACGAACUUGGAGAUAGCUGGUUCUCUCCGAAAUAGCUUUAGGGCUAGCGUCGAUGUUAAGUCUCUUGGAGGUAGAGCACUGUUUGGGUGAGGGGUCCAUCCCGGAUUACCAAUCUCAGAUAAACUCCGAAUGCCAACGAGAUAUAAUCGGCAGUCAGACUGCGAGUGCUAAGAUCCGUAGUCGAAAGGGAAACAGCCCAGACCACCAGCUAAGGUCCCAAAAUAUAUGUUAAGUGGAAAAGGAUGUGGGGUUGCACAGACAACUACACAAAAGUGUCAUGGUAGGAGAGCGUUCUAUGUGUGAAGAAGGUGUACCGUGAGGAGCGCUGGAACGCAUAGAAGUGAGAAUGCCGGUAUGAGUAGCGCAAGACAGGUGAGAAUCCUGUCCACCGUAAGACUAAGGUUUCCAGGGGAAGGCUCGUCCGCCCUGGGUUAGUCGGGACCUAAGGAGAGACCGAAAGGUGUAUCCGAUGGACAACAGGUUGAUAUUCCUGUACUAGAGUAUAUAGUGAUGGAGGGACGCAGUAGGCUAACUAAACCAGACGAUUGGAAGUGUCUGGUCAAACAGUGAGGUGUGAUAUGAGUCAAAUGCUUAUAUCUUUAACAUUGAGCUGUGACGAGGAGCGAAGUUUAGUAGCGAAGUUAGUGAUGUCACACUGCCAAGAAAAGCUUCUAGCGAUACAUAUACUCUACCCGUACCGCAAACCGACACAGGUAGUCGAGGCGAGUAGCCUCAGGUGAGCGAGAGAACUCUCGUUAAGGAACUCGGCAAAAUGGCCCCGUAACUUCGGGAGAAGGGGCGCUGAUUUUAGAUCAGCCGCAGUGAAUAGGCCCAAGCAACUGUUUAUCAAAAACACAGCUCUCUGCUAAAUCGUAAGAUGAUGUAUAGGGGGUGACGCCUGCCCGGUGCUGGAAGGUUAAGAGGAGUGCUUAGCGUAAGCGAAGGUAUGAAUUGAAGCCCCAGUAAACGGCGGCCGUAACUAUAACGGUCCUAAGGUAGCGAAAUUCCUUGUCGGGUAAGUUCCGACCCGCACGAAAGGCGUAAUGAUUUGGGCACUGUCUCAACGAGAGACUCGGUGAAAUUUUAGUACCUGUGAAGAUGCAGGUUACCCGCGACAGGACGGAAAGACCCCAUGGAGCUUUACUGCAGUUUGAUAUUGAGUAUCUGUACCACAUGUACAGGAUAGGUAGGAGCCUAUGAUAACGGGACGCCAGUUUCGUUUGAGGCGUUGUUGGGAUACUACCCUUGUGUUAUGGCUACUCUAACCCAGAUAGGCAAUCCCUAUCGGAGACAGUGUCUGACGGGCAGUUUGACUGGGGCGGUCGCCUCCUAAAAGGUAACGGAGGCGCCCAAAGGUUCCCUCAGACUGGUUGGAAAUCAGUCGUAGAGUGUAAAGGUAUAAGGGAGCUUGACUGCGAGAGCUACAACUCGAGCAGGGACGAAAGUCGGGCUUAGUGAUCCGGUGGUUCCGUAUGGAAGGGCCAUCGCUCAACGGAUAAAAGCUACCCUGGGGAUAACAGGCUUAUCUCCCCCAAGAGUUCACAUCGACGGGGAGGUUUGGCACCUCGAUGUCGGCUCGUCGCAUCCUGGGGCUGUAGUCGGUCCCAAGGGUUGGGCUGUUCGCCCAUUAAAGCGGCACGCGAGCUGGGUUCAGAACGUCGUGAGACAGUUCGGUCCCUAUCCGUCGCGGGCGUAGGAAAUUUGAGAGGAUCUGCUCCUAGUACGAGAGGACCAGAGUGGACUUACCGCUGGUGUACCAGUUGUCUUGCCAAAGGCAUCGCUGGGUAGCUAUGUAGGGAAGGGAUAAGCGCUGAAAGCAUCUAAGUGCGAAGCCCACCUCAAGAUGAGAUUUCCCAUGAUUUUAUAUCAGUAAGAGCCCUGAGAGAUGAUCAGGUAGAUAGGUUAGGAGUGUAAUUGUGGUGACACAUUUAGCGGACUAAUACUAAUAGCUCGAGGACUUAUCCAAAA